rnacentral:rRNA from 1 species
GUGGGGAAUAUUGGUCAAUGGGCGGGAGCCUGAACCAGCCAAGUCGCGUGAAGGAAGAAGGAUCUAUGGUUCGUAAACUUCUUUUGCAGGGGAAUAAAGUGCAGGACGUGUCCUGUUUUGUAUGUACCCUGAGAAUAAGGAUCGGCUAACUCCGUGCCAGCAGCCGCGGUAAUACGGAGGAUCCGAGCGUUAUCCGGAUUUAUUGGGUUUAAAGGGUGCGUAGGUGGUUUGAUAAGUCAGCGGUGAAAGUUUGCAGCUUAACUGUAAAAAUGCCGUUGAAACUGUCGGACUAGAGUGUAAAUGAGGUAGGCGGAAUGCGUGGUGUAGCGGUGAAAUGCAUAGAUAUCACGCAGAACUCCGAUUGCGAAGGCAGCUUACUAAGCUACAACUGACACUGAAGCACGAAAGCGUGGGGAUCAAACAGGAUUAGAAACCCUUGUAGUCC